UAACUUCAGCGCCGAGGGUGGAC
rnacentral:miRNA from 1 species